GGUCCCGUAGUUCAACGGAUAGAAUAGGAGUUUCCUAAACUCUAGAUAUGAGUUCGAUUCUCGUCGGGACCACUA
rnacentral:tRNA from 4 species